rnacentral:rRNA from 1 species
UACGAAGGGGGCUAGCGUUGCUCGGAAUCACUGGGCGUAAAGCGCACGCAGGCGGUCUUUCAAGUUUGACGUGAAAGCUCUCGGCUUAACUGGGAGAGGUCGUUGAAUACUGGGAGACUUGAGGAAAUGAGAGGGGUUUAGAAUUCCUGGUGUAGUGGUGGAAUGCGUAGAUAUCAGGAGGAAUACCAGUGGCGAAAGCGGCGCCCUAGCAUUUUUCUGACGCUCAUGUGCGAAAGCGUGGGGAGCGAACGGG